rnacentral:rRNA from 1 species
UUGCGGUUAAAAAGCUCGUAGUUGGAUUUCUGUUGAGGAUGACCGGUCCGCUCUUUGAGCGCGUAUCUGGUUCAGCCUUGGCAUCCUCUUGGGGAACGCUACUGUGCUUGAUUGCAUGGGGCGGUAUUCAAGACUUUUACUUUGAGGAAAUUAGAGUGUUCACUGCAAGCGUUAGCAAUUGAAUACAUUAGCAUGGAAUAAUAAUAUAGGACCUUGGUACUAUUUUGUUGGUUUCUAGAACUAAGGUAAUGAUUAAUAGGGACAAUUGGGGGCAUUCGUAUCAACGCGUCAGAGGUGGAAUUCUUAGAUUGCGUUACGACGAACUACUGCGAAAGCGUUCCGCAAGGAUGUUCCCUUUGAUCAAGAACGAAAGUUGGGGGAUCGAAGACGAUCAGAUACCGUCGUAGUCUCAACUAUAAACUAUACCAGCUAGGGAUCGGCCAACGUUAAUUAUCCGACUUGGUCGGCACCUUAUGAGAAAUCAAAGCAUCUGGGUUCCGGGGGGAGUAUGGUCGCAAAGCUGAAACUUAAAGGAAUUGACGGAAGGGCACCACCAGCCGUGGAGCCUGUGGCUUAAUUUGACUCAACACGGGAAAACUUACCAGGUCCAGACAUAGUAAGGAUUGACAGAUUGAUAGCUCUUUCUUGAUCCUGUGGGUGGUGGUGCAUG